rnacentral:rRNA from 1 species
GCUUACGGCCAUACCACCCUGAACACACCCGAUCUCGUCCGAUCUCGGAAGCUAAGCAGGGUCGGGCCCGGUUAGUACUUGGAUGGGAAACCGCCUGGGAAUACCAGGUGCUGUAAGCU